ACGUGAGAAGAAACGCGCGUUACUGAGAGCUCUGGUUGUGAGACGGCUAGGUCAGGAGAAAAAAGUGAUUCUAGGGUGGUGCUAUUGUGUCUCAAUUUGCUUUCCAUUUACAGCAGAAGAAAACUUGUUUUGGCAAAUUUCGAUCAUAUUGAAUAAAUGGUUUCCGCGUCAUCUUUUUGGCUGCAAAAGGAUACUCUAUAGAAAUCGCUUUAGGAUGUUAGGUAAAACAUUUCCGAUUAAUGCCUUUGUUUUAACUUCUAUUGACCUCAUCAUCUUCCAGCCUCCCCUGUGACAAUGGAGCAAUCAAGCUUGCAAGUCCAAGCGGAAACACGCCACGCUGCUGAAGAAGCAGACGUCAGUAUUAGCAGACCAAAAACUUUGAGCAGCUUAAGGAACAGCGCAGAUGGUCAUAGUGAUGCCAUGCCAUGCAAUAAGAGGAGAAACAAAAUCCCACGCUCUGCCCCAGACAGGUUUGCGUCAGAAUAUGGAGAAAGAGGAAGAACUAUCCAAGCCCGAAUUAAAACCUCUUCGUUCUUUGCUAAGUGAUAAAGAUGAACACGGUAGUCUACAUUCAGAGUUGUAGCUUUUAUAUCUUUCCAUGAAAUCUCGAAUUCAGCAUCUCUUUUUUCCAGUUGCAGAGAGUAAUGAGGUCAUGGCAGACGGGAAGAAGGAGUACUGAACAGUCUCCUGAUGAGUACUGAACAGUCUCUUGGGCAGAAUGAUGCUGAUAAAGGAGUAAAGAAACAAGAUGGUCGGCGCGGUUCGAACAGCAAAGGAGUAACAAAAGUUGCAUCGCAGGGAUUGCCAACGGGUCAACGAGAUGGCAUUGGUAGAAGCAGCGCGAAAGGAAAGGUCAAAGAGUUCAUGAAUAUCUUCAAUCAAGAAGCUGCUUUGAAACCUAAAGUUGACGUCUGACCUCAAGGAAGCAUGGACUCACUUCUAUUCACUUGGAUCUAUAUGAGCCAUCAAAACUUGCUUACUUCAUACUCAGCAAUUGCUUGCAAAGGACAUGGAUUGGAUCUAUAUGAGCCAUCAAAUUUUGCUUUUCUUC